GCGUGCCUAAGAAAUGAAGUCGAGCGAGAGUAGCAAUACUCUAGCGGCGAACGGUCGCGUAACACGUAGGCAACCUGCCCGAAAGACCGGGACAACACUUCGAAAGAGGUGCUAAUACCGGAUGCGGCCACUAGGAGGCAUCUUCUGGUGUCUAAACCCCGCAAGGGGCUUUCGGAGGGGCCUGCGGCCUAUCAGCUAGAUGGCGGGGUGAUGGCCCACCAUGGCGACGACGGGUAGCUGGUCUGAGAGGAUGGUCAGCCGGACUGGGACUGAGAUACGGCCCAGACUCCUACGGGGGGCAGCAAUUAGGAAUCUUGCGCAAUGGGCGAAAGCCUGACGCAGCGACGCCGCGUGGGGGAGGAAGUCUUUCGGGAUGUAAACCCCUUUUGAACGGGAAGAAACAAAUGACGGUACCGUUCGAAUAAGCCCCGGCUAACUACGUGCCAGCAGCCGCGGUAAUACGUAUGGGGCGAGCGUUGUCCGAAGUUACUGGGCGUAAAGCGC
rnacentral:rRNA from 1 species